CGUGCACGCCGUUAGCUUGAGAGUUUCCUGCGUUUUCUGUGUUCUUUGUGUGCUUCGCUGUGACAUCUUUGGAAUAUUCCUGCGUGUUGCUCGCUUUUUAUGGACUUGUUGCCUCGAAGAUCGCCAUGAUCGCCUCCGACUCAGCGACAUCAAGGAUUCAAAAUGAGCUGGGAGAGGCCCCAGCUGGAACGGUUCACAUAGGUUGAAGGAGUGCACAUUGAGAAGGU
rnacentral:lncRNA from 1 species